rnacentral:rRNA from 1 species
GACGAACGCUGGCGGCGUGCCUAAUACAUGCAAGUAGAACGCUGAAGGAGGAGCUUGCUUCUCUGGAUGAGUUGCGAACGGGUGAGUAACGCGUAGGUAGCCCGCCUGGUAGCGGGGGAUAACUAUUGGAAACGAUAGCUAAUACCGCAUAAUAGUAGAUGUCGCAUGACAUUUGCUUAAAGGGUGCAAUUGCAUCACUACCAGAUGGACCUGCGUUGUAUUAGCUAGUUGGUGAGGUAACGGCUCACCAAGGCAACGAUACAUAGCCGACCUGAGAGGGUGAUCGGCCACACUGGGACUGAGACACGGCCCAGACUCCUACGGGAGGCAGCAGUAGGGAAUCUUCGGCAAUGGACGGAAGUCUGACCGAGCAACGCCGCGUGAGUGAAGAAGGUUUUCGGAUCGUAAAGCUCUGUUGUAAGAGAAGAACGAGUGUGAGAGUGGAAAGUUCACACUGUGACGGUAUCUUACCAGAAAGGGACGGCUAACUACGUG